rnacentral:rRNA from 1 species
CCUACGGGGGGCAGCAGUGGGGAAUAUUGCACAAUGGGGGAAACCCUGAUGCAGCGACGCCGCGUGAGUGAGGAAGUAUUUCGGUAUGUAAAGCUCUAUCAGCAGGGAAGAAAAUGACGGUACCUGACUAAGAAGCCCCUGCUAACUACGUGCCAGCCGCCGCGGUAAUACGUAGGGGGCAAGCGUUAUCUGGAUUUACUGGGUGUAAAGGGAGCGUAGACGGCUUAUCAAGUCAGAAGUGAAAGCCCAGGGCUCAACGUUGGAGCUGCAUUUGAAACUGAGUAGCUAGAGUGCAGUAGAGGUGAGCGGAAUUCCUAGUGUAGCGGUGAAAUGCGUAGAUAUUAGGAGGAACACCAGUGGCGAAGGCGGCUUACUGGACUGUAACUGACGUUGAGGCUCGAAAGCGUGGGGAGCAAACAGGAUUAGAUACCCGAGUAGUC